UUGAAUUAUGUAGGGUAUAUUGUACUUUAUUGUAAAUCACUAACACCUAAUACUUUUCUCACUUUCUUCAUCUUCUUCUCUCAUCUUCAUCACCUUCAACAAUCCUACCCAGAAAGAAGAAAAAAUCAAUAGCACAAAUUAAAACACAUAAACUAGAAUUAAAACACAUAAACCUUCAAAUAGAAUUAAACCCAUAUUUUUUUUUUCUUAAAAAAACCAGAAAUCAUCAUCAUUAGCAUCAACAACACAAAUCAAAUUCAACCCAUUUUAAUUCUUUUCAUCAUCAUCUUCAUGAAUUAAAAACAAUGGAUUUCUCCAAAUUCAGCACAUCAACAACACGAUACUUUGAACCAACAACAUCAUAAAAAAAUAUCUCUCUCUUCCCUUUCUCUCUUCCAAUCCAUUCAUAGAAACAUAACAAAAAAAAUUGAAUUCUUGCUUUUUUUCUCUUCCCUUUCUCUCAAAUGUGUGGUACUGUAAUCACACAUAAUCAAAUGUGGGGUUUAUUUCAAUUCUUCCUUCCAGUAACUUUAAGUUACAAUUCAUGGGAUUUGAUUUUGGAUAACGUCUGAAUAAAUAAAAAAUAAAACUUUAUUGAUUUAUUUAGGAUUUUAUGAGAUCCAAUUUCUUAGUUUAUGAGUUUCAACUGAAGCAAAUCGAAGUACAUUCCUUCGGGGAGAGUUCGAACGGGAUAAGAAGAAAGUGUGGGAGAUGGGUGAUCUAUGGAAGUAUGGAGAUGAGGGAGAGACACGCUGAAGAAGAAGAAAAUAAGAUAGAAGACCUUUUGUAAUCUUUUUGCAACCUUAUCACUUAUUUUGGUGGGUUUGGCUUUGAAUAAAUUUUGCCCUUUGUAAUAAUAUAAAGCUAUUUUGUAAAUGAAUCUAGGUAUUUUUGUUGCGUUGAAUUUGUGGAAGCCAUGAAUUCAUGAUCUUGAAGGCGUGAGUUGAUGUUGAAUUUGAGUUUUUUCAGGUAUAUUGUAUGAAUGUUGAUGAAUUUUGUAUAAACAUGAAAAAGCGGUGGAAGGAAAAAGAUGAAGAGAGGGAAAAAAAAUUAUGUGGUGAUGGUUCACUAUUGUAUAUAAUGGACCUGCAAUCGAAUGGUUGAAAUCAUAUCAAAAAUGUUAGAAAUUAAAAAACUAACGGAGAUGACCAAAAUAGUAAACGGCAG
rnacentral:lncRNA from 1 species